rnacentral:rRNA from 1 species
GACCUUGAAAUACCACCCUUUAAUGUUUGAUGUUCUAACGUUGACCCGUAAUCCGGGUUGCGGACAGUGUCUGGUGGGUAGUUUGACUGGGGCGGUCUCCUCCUAAAGAGUAACGGAGGAGCACGAAGGUUGGCUAAUCCUGGUCGGACAUCAGGAGGUUAGUGCAAUGGCAUAAGCCAGCUUGACUGCGAGCGUGACGGCGCGAGCAGGUGCGAAAGCAGGUCAUAGUGAUCCGGUGGUUCUGAAUGGAAGGGCCAUCGCUCAACGGAUAAAAGGUACUCCGGGGAUAACAGGCUGAUACCGCCCAAGAGUUCAUAUCGACGGCGGUGUUUGGCACCUCGAUGUCGGCUCAUCACAUCCUGGGGCUGAAGUAGGUCCCAAGGGUAUGGCUGUUCGCCAUUUAAAGUGGUACGCGAGCUGGGUUUAGAACGUCGUGAGACAGUUCGGUCCCUAUCUGCCGUG